UCGCCUGUUUAUCAAAAACAUGGUUUCUUGAUGUUUUUAAGAAAUCUAACCUGCCCACUGAAUAUAAAUUUAAAGGGCCGCGGUAUCUUGACUGUGCGAAGGUAGCAUAAUCAUUAGUCUUUUAAUUGAAGGCUUGUAUGAAUGGUUGAAUGAAGUGAAUACUGUUUCAUAUUUAUUUUAUUGAAUUUAGAUUUUAAGUGAAAAGACUUAAAUGUUAUUAAGGGACGAGAAGACCCUAUAGAAUUUAAUAAAUCUAGUGGUUAAUUAAGUUAUUAAAUAAUUUUUAAUUAUUAAUAGGAUUUAUUUAAUUGGGGUGAUUAAAAGAUAAAUUUAACUCUUUUUAAAUGUAAAUAUUUUAAUUAAUUUUGUGAUCCAUAUAUAUAAUGAUUAAAAGAUUAAAUUACCUUAGGGAUAACAGCAUAAUUUCUUUUAAGAGUUCUUAUCGAAAGAGAAGAUUAUGACCUCGAUGUUGGAUUAAGAUUAGUUUUAGGUGCAGAUGUUUAUAAACUAGGUCUGUUCGACCUUUAAAAUCUUACAUGAUCUGAGUUCAAACCGGAGA
rnacentral:rRNA from 1 species